rnacentral:rRNA from 1 species
ACCUCCUACGGGGCGCAGCAGUGGGGAAUAUUGCACAAUGGGGGAAACCCUGAUGCGGCAACGCCGCGUGAGUGAAGAAGUCAUUCGUGAUGUAAAGCUCUAUCAGCAGGGAAGAAAAUGACGGUACCUGAGUAAGAAGCCCCGGCUAACUACGUGCCAGCAGCCGCGGUAAUACGUAGGGGGCAAGCGUUGUCCGGAUUUACUGGGUGUAAAGGGCGUGCAGCCGGGCCGACAAGUCAGAUGUGAAAUCCGCGGGCUCAACCCGCGAACUGCAUUUGAAACUAUUGGUCUUGAGUACCGGAGAG